rnacentral:rRNA from 1 species
GUAGGAGUUAAGGUCUUUAAAUUUAAAGAAUUUGGCGGUAAAUUAAUUUGACUAGAGGAAUUUGUUUAUUAAUAGAUAAUACACAAUUUAUCUUUCUUUAUUUAUUAUUAAUAAUAAUUUAUAUAUCGUCGUUUAGAAUAUUUUUAUAGAAUUAAUUUUCUUUAAUUGUAAUUAAUUUAAAAUCAGAUCAGGAUAUAGUUUAUAAUGAAGAAUAAAAUGAAUUACAUUUUUGAAAAAAAAUUAUGGAUAAUUUUUUGUAAUAUAAAUUUGAAGGAGGAUUUAGAAGUAAUAAAAUAUUAGUAUGAUUUUAUGAAUAUUUAUUAUACUAAUUUAUGUACACAUCGCCCGUCGC